CGAAGAGCCCGGCGCGGUCGCUCCACGUUCGCGUGGAGAGGAAAGUCCGGACUCCAACGGGUGGCAUGCUCGCCAACGGCGAGGCGCAGUGAUGCGACGGAAAGUGCAACAGAAAACAGACCGCCCCGCCUUCGGGCGAGGUAAGGGUGAAACGGCGCGGUAAGAGCGCACCGCCCGGCCGGCGACGGUCCGGGGCAAGGCAAACCCCAUGCGGAGCAAGACCAAAUAGGGGGAUGGCAGUGCGGGCCGCCCGUCCCGCCCGUUCCGGUUCGCCGGGACGACUUCCCCGGGUAGGUUGCUCGAGGCCGGCGGCAACGCCGGUCCCAGAGGAAUGACCGUGACCGGCAUCGCGAGAUGACGGCACAGAACUCGGCUUAUCGGGCUCUUCGACCC
rnacentral:RNase_P_RNA from 1 species